rnacentral:rRNA from 1 species
UACGUAGGGUGCAAGCGUUAAUCGGAAUUACUGGGCGUAAAGCGUGCGCAGGCGGUUUUGUAAGUCUGACGUGAAAGCCCCGGGCUUAACCUGGGAAUUGCGUUGGAGACUGCAAGGCUUGAAUCUGGCAGAGGGGGGUAGAAUUCCACGUGUAGCAGUGAAAUGCGUAGAGAUGUGGAGGAAUACCGAUGGCGAAGGCAGCCCCCUGGGAUGAUACUGACGCUCAUGCACGAAAGCGUGGGGAGCAAACAGG